AUGAACGCUGGCGGCGUGCCUAAUACAUGCAAGUCGAGCGAACAGACGAGGAGCUUGCUCCUCUGACGUUAGCGGCGGACGGGUGAGCAACACGUGGAUAACCUACCUAUAAGACUGGGAUAACUUCGGGAAACCGGAGCUAAUACCGGAUAAUAUAUUGAACCGCAUGGUUCAAUAGUGAAAGACGGUUUUGCUGUCACUUAUAGAUGGAUCCGCGCCGCAUUAGCUAGUUGGUAAGGUAACGGCUUACCAAGGCGACGAUGCGUAGCCGACCUGAGAGGGUGAUCGGCCACACUGGAACUGAGACACGGUCCAGACUCCUACGGGAGGCAGCAGUAGGGAAUCUUCCGCAAUGGGCGAAAGCCUGACGGAGCAACGCCGCGUGAGUGAUGAAGGUCUUCGGAUCGUAAAACUCUGUUAUUAGGGAAGAACAAAUGUGUAAGUAACUAUGCACGUCUUGACGGUACCUAAUCAGAAAGCCACGGCUAACUACGUG
rnacentral:rRNA from 1 species